AGUUCAGCCAGUGUAGGCUGAACUCAACAUAUGGCUUUGAUGAUCACCCUUCACAAGCCUACGGAAUGCCUGGGGUGACUCCAUUUCAGGCUGUGGGAACAAGGGGUUUAUGUUUCAUAUAUCUCACAUUCUUCUCCUGGUACCAGAGUGUCAUCUGGGGUAUGCUUUUUUCAUGAGAAUGACAGAGGCACAUGAGAACAAGUGGCAACACAGGAGGACACUGAAGUCUUGGCUCAGAAAUUGCACACUCUACCCAUGUGCUAUUAGCCAAAACAAGUUACAGGGUCAAGCCUGAUUGAGGGAUGGAGAAGCACACUCUGCCCUCCCUCCAUGAGGCCCAGAAAAAGUGUGGAUGCAGAAGAAAGUUGGAAUUGGGGGUAAAACUCUAUAACCAACACAGCUUGGCCUCUUAAUCUUCCUUCAGCACAUUGAUGCUAUGAAAAUCACAUUACUGUCAUCAGUGGAUUAAUAGAGCUGCUACCUAGACUGACAAGACGCAGUAAAAACGCCUGGCAAAUUGGAGCUGGGGUGAUAUGGAAUCCUACAAAGAAGAACCACAGAAAGCAUCAUUAGAAAGAAAGCCUAGCAAGUGAGAUAAAAUAACUGCAGCUAGAAAUGUUGGUAAUGGGAAGAAUACAAGCUUAAUAUCAAGUGGACCAAGAUUUGAAUCCCAAAGCUGACAUUUAUAAUUUGUUUCCUGGGCAAAGUUUUUACCCACUAAGUAGGAUGGUGACACCUCAGCCCUUCUGCGAGAAAAACAAGGGUGAUCCACAUCCCCCAUCCCUCAUCUUAAAGUCAGGUUCAUAACGGAUAAGGCCUCUGAUCAGCCAAAUAACAAGCUGGAGGACUCAGGAGGCCCUUGCUUUGGUUCCUAUUGGAACAAUACAACAUAGAACAGGGCCAAGAAAAGGGCAAAGGAAAUACAAAAGGACGCCUGGAAGAUUUGCACAGGGCAAAGGAUGACUUGCUGAGUUAAUUUAAAGUGAUGUAAAUUGCUAAGACAACACUGCAAAGCAUUCAUAUCAUUUUUUUUUUCAAGGAAGAAAAUCUAAACAUUUUCCUCAGGAUCUUCAAUAAUAAAAAUCUAUUUAUCAAACAUGAACUUCUUUUUCUACCCUUUACCAGACUUCCCUACUUACUUGUCUAGAGCAGUUACUAAGAGAGAAAUAACCUGAUCCUUAGUAGUUCUUUCUUAUUACCUGGCAAUGAGGCCUUUCCCAGUGCCUCAAGAUUUGACCUUUGACUUCAUUUCCUAUUUAUCUCAUAAUGCCUGAGUUUUUAUGGCCUUCUCAACAUAAAACAUUUUCUUUGGUCACAUACAUUCCUUUCUUUUUUCUUAAGAUUAAAUAGGUUAUUUCUUAUAAUUACAUAGUGUAUGUUUACUAUAAAUAAUACCAAUUUUGAAAAAUGCUAAUAAAAUUACCUUUAGUCCACCAACCAGGGAAUAAUAACUCAUAACACAUUGCUGUAUAUCCAUCCAAUAUUUUUCAGUUCACAUAUGCAAGUGUGUGCACACACAGCCUUUCUUGUAAAAAUGGGAACGUUUACAAAAUAAUUUGCAUUAUUUCCUUUGAUAACUCACAGAAAUUCUUCCAUAUUUAGGUGGGUAGAUCUGCAUAAAAUUUAAUCAUUGAAACUUUUUAAAAUUAUGGAAACAUCAAGUAAUUUAUAAUAUUUGAUGAAUUCCAUAAUAUUGAACAUGUAGAUGAUUUCCAAUUUUGGGACGUUCUUUACAAUGAUAAAUAAUGUGACUAUAAACUAAUUGUAUAUAUGUUUUUUACUUAUCCUUGAUUUUCUUAGGUUAAUUUUCUAGAUUUAAAUGUCUUGCUGAAAAGUUUUAUUCACAGAAUUUCUUACAACCCUGAAAUUCUUUUUUGAAUGCCAGUUCUACGUGAUAUCUUCAAUUUGGCCCAGGUUUUAUUUUAUCUGCUGGACUGUUAAUUAUUAUUACAACAGAAAUAUUUCCACUGUAUAUUUAUUGGUCUUUUCAGGCUGAAAUUAAGGGAACUCUCCUGAGGCCAGUGUAAGUAAAAUGGGACCUGUAUUUAUGGUGCUGCAGAGGAGUUUCAUGAAAUCCAAAGUCAGAGUUUUAGUUUGGCCCCAAGAACAGCCUAGGCUGGAGACUAGAGAGCUAAAGGUAACCAAUAGAUAUUUUCCAUGCAUAUAUUUGUUCUCUCCUUCUGUGUAUAAGUUCAAUUAAUGCCAGUCUUUCUGAGUUUCCUAUUCCUUGUUUAAGUCAUUCUUUGUUUCAUUGAAAAAUUCCCUAGUCCAGUUCCUGCUUUCCUCAAGAAAGGAACUAAUUAACUGGACCAGUUUGGGUUUGAAGGUUCACUCCUGGUCUCUUCCAAACCAUGGGUAUAAUUUAAGCUAAAAAUGAAAAUAAAUAUGAGCAACAAAAGUUAAAGAAAUACUAGUAUGCCAAAGGAAAAUUUAACAACUCUUUAAAGACAUUUUGGGUCAUAAGGAAUCAAAUUGCUGACAAUCUGCAAAAUACAAUUCAUGAAGAACUUAUGGAUACAGCUAAAUCAGUGCUCACAGGAAAAAUCUAUCAUAAAUAAAUCUAUUGUUAUGAUAAUAAACAAAAAUAAUUAAAAUCUUUAAUCACUCAACACAAGAAAUUACAAAAUGUAAAAAAGGACAUUAGAAGGAAUAAAUUAAGGUUAAAAACAAUAGAAAUAGAAAUCAUAAAAACUGUAAAACUAUUACAUAGUUUCAAGAGUGCAUUGCAGAAUUAUAGAAAGCUUUUGCUUUAAAAUAAGGAAUAAGAAGUCCCUGUAUAUAUUACACACUGUAAGUUAAUUUAAUAUGGAGUCACAUUUUAAUGCAAUUAGGUAACAAAAAUAAUUUUUUAGAAAAGAUACUAUAUUGUUGAAGGCAAAAAUGCUAUGUGAGACUCAAUAAUUGAAGCCCAACCUGAUUCUCUGUCCCUAUGUUAAACAAUGCUGGGACCAAGCAAUAAUACCUUAUCUGCAUGCUUCAGAAUUACUGGCUCCUGAAAGAUAAGACUAGGAAAGACCUAAACAACUUAUUAUCAAGACUAACAGUUUGCUCCUGAAGACUCCCUUCAAGAUCGUCUCACAGCUAAGUUUAGCAAUCAAAGUAAACCCUGCCCAUUUCUAGCAUUUAUCUGCCUUAAAGUUACCCAGCCCAGACCCUGAACCUUCCUAAAUGUAUUUUCCUAUUUUUCCAACUUUGGGAGACUGCUAAGAAUUGUAUUGCAGUAUGUCUCAUACACAGUUUAGCUCCAUUAAUAGAUGUUUUCUGGUGGUCAUAUGUGAUAUAAUGGGCAGGCUUAACAAAAGACGAAAAUGCUAACUUGUGUUCUCUGUUUGCCACAAUGUCACUUUGGUUUUGUAGAGAUUAAGAAACUGAGCUGCGAGAGAUUAAAUAUUCUAUCAAGGUCAUUGCCCGCAAGCAGGGUAGGAGGAUUUAAAAAGGUCUGACACACACCUGAAAUUCUACUUGUUCCAUUACUACAUCCUGCCUGCAGUUGGCCAUCUCUAUUUCUGCAUUUUGCUGGAAAAUCCCACCUUGAGUCCUUUUAGCCUGUACUUUUCCUUCAAAUUAUCUCAAUGGCAGCACAUGAGAAAAGCCCUUGAAUUGCUCUUUUUAUUACUUCAGUUGCUAUAGAAAUUCUGUGUCCUACCUCUCAUCUUACCAGAAUGAUCAUCAAAGGAUCUGAAUGAUUGAAUUUGAGAAAUAAAAGUAAUGAUGGUUUCUCAUGUAUUAUUUUGUCUAUUUAUAUGUGCCUACUUGAACCUGAACAAGACUGAAGACAUUUAAUGCACGUUUGCAAAGGCUGUAGAGCGCAUCCAGUGGUUUUACAUGCAUUGUCUUAUUUGAAUUCGAUUUGAUUUGAUUCUAGUCUGAACUUAUUCUCAACAUGUUACCAUCCACACUUAUAAUAAAAACC
rnacentral:lncRNA from 10 species